UAAAACAGUAUAAAAAAAUGUUUACAAAUAUCUUAACUUGCAACAUGUGACAGGCUACACAUCAGUGUUGUCCAUCUUUAAUCGAGAAAUGCAUUCAGAACAUUUUAUGAAGUAUUGGCAGGCUGUACCUGACGUCUUACUUUCUUGCAACGAAAUCAAAAGAACUACAAACCAAUUAAAUUAAUUUUUAUAGCAGUAUUUUCUUU